GGAUAUAAAAGGGCCUACAUUGGCAUUUUUUCAUGUACUUUCAUUUGAAUGAGGAACAAGGAGAAACAUACCCAAGUUUGAGGUGCAAGUUUCACCAUUUAGAAUGUUUUGACUAAUGCACUAUGCUAUUCUAUUUAUUGUUGAUUGAUGCCCCGCUGUUUUCUCGUUAACUUGGGUUAUAUGACCUGAAGAUGGUUAUGAUGACUAUGACCAUCUCAAUCUUGUGUUCAUGUUCCAUGAUUGGAUUGCAAAACCUGCUUAAGGAAAAGUGAAUUUGACCAACAGAUUGUUUGUUUAGUGCUAAGACCAACACUGAGAAUGGGAAAACUGAAAAAGAGUAAAUCAAAGGCAGGCUGGGAUUCCCAUUGGAUGUGGUUUGGAACUGCUGAAUAUAUGCACCCAUAGUAGUUCAGCAAAACUGUCCUAAAAAUUGGAACUUAUCGCCACUGGGAAAGCAGCGGAGUAUGGUCCCCUUAAAGAUGGCUUCACAUUUGAGUCAUCAACUGGCCUUGCCCGAAUGUGAGAUUUUCCUUCUCCUUUAAUACAUGGAUAUUUCAGUAUUUCCAACACAGAACCACUCUGUUUGAAAUCUGCGUAUUGAGAUUUUCUUUCAGUUGUGCUGGCAUGUUGGUUUUUUCGUCUUCUAGGCUGCUCAGCUCCGCAACAUGUCCGGUUCUUGAAGGUCUUGGGAAGAAGCUCUUCUUUGAGAUAGCAGUUGGUUUAAAUGGCCAUGUUUGGGUGAACGCUGAGGCUCCAUCUACAGUCAUCCUUGUAUCAGAUGCAAUUAUGAAUUUAGAGUCGUCGAGUGGGGUUCAGCAAAAGAUUAUGGUGGAGAAACUGCUCCAGAGAGUUCAGUGAUCAAGAACUGUGAUGAAAACAUGAUGUGGUUGGAAAUCCACAAGAUAGAAGAUGCCCCUUUUGGAGGUGCAAUGACUUCAACCUUUCAUUCGCAGGAGGAGAGAGAUGGUGUAAAGGAGGAAGUUGACAUUUAUUAGUUCCCAACAACGUUAGUGAGACUGACAUGCUUGUUUAGCACUCUGUACCCUGAAGAAGUUGGGAAAAUUUAAUAGUAUUCACAAGGAAAGCUUUGAAACAAUUUGAUGGUAGUCACCAUUUCUGAAACUUGAGAGAGGGAACGUUUACUUUUGAUGACUAGUACGGUUUGUCAUAAAUGAUAAAGAAGUGACGUGUGUAGUUUGUCUAAAAUUUGAUCACCGACAAAUACACUGAUCAUUAUUUGUU